AUUGAACGCUGGCGGCAGGCUUAACACAUGCAAGUCGAGCGGAGACUUCGGUCUUAGCGGCGAACGGGUGAGUAAUACCUAGGAAUCUGCCUAUUAGGUGGGGGAUAACGAAUCGAAAGGUUCGCUAAUACCGCAUACGUCCUACGGGAGAAAGGGGGGGAUCUUCGGACCUCUCGCUAAUAGAUGAGCCUAGGCCGGAUUAGCUAGUUGGUAGGGUAAAGGCCUACCAAGGCGACGAUCUGUAGCUGGUCUGAGAGGAUGGCCAGCCACACUGGAACUGAGACACGGUCCAGACUCCUACGGGAGGCAGCAGUGGGGAAUAUUGGACAAUGGGGGCAACCCUGAUCCAGCCAUGCCGCGUGUGUGAAGAAGGCCUUCGGGUUGUAAAGCACUUUAAGCGAGGAGGAAGGUUUUUAGUUUAAUACACUAAAGAAUUGACGUUACUCGCAGAAUAAGCACCGGCUAACUCUGUG
rnacentral:rRNA from 1 species